rnacentral:rRNA from 1 species
UACAGCGAAACUGCGAAUGGCUCAUUAUAUAAGUUAUCGUUUAUUUGAUAGUACCUUACUACUUGGAUAACCGUGGUAAUUCUAGAGCUAAUACAUGCUAAAAAUCCCGACUUCGGAAGGGAUGUAUUUAUUAGAUUAAMAACCAAUGCCCUCUGGGCUCCUUGGUGAUUCAUAAUAACUUUUCGAAUCGCAUGGCCUUGCGCCGGCGAUGGUUCAUUCAAAUUUCUUCCCUAUCAACUUUCGAUGUUUGGGUAUUGGCCAAACAUGGUCGCAACGGGUAACGGAGGGUUAGGGCUCGACCCCGGAGAAGGAGCCUGAGAAACGGCUACUACAUCCAAGGAAGGCAGCAGGCGCGCAAAUUACCCAAUCCCGAUUCGGGGAGGUAGUGACAAUAAAUACUGAUACAGGGCUCUUUUGGGUCUUGUAAUUGGAAUGAGUACAAUUUAAAUCUCUUAACGAGGAACAAUUGGAGGGCAAGUCUGGUGCCAGCAGCCGCGGUAAUUCCAGCUCCAAUAGCGUAUAUUAAAGUUGUUGUGGUUAAAAAGCUCGUAGUUGAACCUUGGGCCUGGCUGGCCGGUCCGCCUCACCGCGUGUACUGGUCCGGCCGGGCCUUUCCCUCUGUGGRACCUCAUGCCCUUCACUGGGUGUGGCGGGGAAACAGGACUUUUACUUUUAAAAAAUUAGAGUKCUCCAGGCAGGCCUAUKCUCGAAUACAUUAGCAUGGAAUAAUAAAAUAGGACGUGUGGUUCUAUUUUGUUGGUUUCUAGGACCCCCGUAAUGAUUAAUAGGG